rnacentral:rRNA from 1 species
UACGUAGGGGGCAAGCGUUGUCCGGAAUCAUUGGGCGUAAAGCGCGUGUAGGCGGCUUGAUAAGUCUGCUCUGAAAGCCCGGGGCUCAACCCUGGGAGGCGGGUGGAUACUGUCGAGCUCGAGUCCGGAAGAGGCGAGUGGAAUUCCUGGUGUAGCGGUGAAAUGCGCAGAUAUCAGGAGGAACACCAAUGGCGAAGGCAGCACUCUGGGACGUGACUGACGCUGAGACGCGAAAGCGUGGGGAGCAAACAGG